GCGCGUAUACGAGGUGCAGCGUAUCGAUGACUGGCGUAAAGCGCACGCAGCGUCUGUAAGUAGAUGUGAAAUCCCCGGGCUACCUGGGAACUGCAUUCAAAACUGACAGGCUAGAGUCUCGUAGAGGGGGGUAGAAUUCCAGGUGUAGCGGUGAAAUGCGUAGAGAUCUGGAGGAAUACCGGUGGCGAAGGCGGCCCCCUGGACGAAGACUGACGCUCAGGUGCGAAAGCGUGGGGAGCAAACAGGAUUAGAUACCCUGGUAGUCCACGCUGUAAACGAUGUCGAUUUGGAGGUUGUGCCCUUGAGGCGUGGCUUCCGGAGCUAACGCGUUAAAUCGACCGCCUGGGGAGUACGGCCGCAAGGUUAAAACUCAAAUGAAUUGACGGGGGCCCGCACAAGCGGUGGAGCAUGUGGUUUAAUUCGAUGCAACGCGAAGAACCUUACCUACUCUUGACAUCCAGCGAAGACUGCAGAGAUGCGGUCGUGCCUUCGGGAACGCUGAGACAGGUGCUGCAUGGCUGUCGUCAGCUCGUGUUGUGAAAUGUUGGGUUAAGUCCCGCAACGAGCGCAACCCUUAUCCUCUGUUGCCAGCACUACGGGUGGGAACUCAGGGGAGACUGCCGGUGAUAAACCGGAGGAAGGUGGGGAUGACGUCAAGUCAUCAUGGCCCUUACGAGUAGGGCUACACACGUGCUACAAUGGCGUAUACAAAGAGAAGCGACCUCGCGAGAGCAAGCGGACCUCAUAAAGUACGUCGUAGUCCGGAUUGGAGUCUGCAACUCGACUCCAUGAAGUCGGAAUCGCUAGUAAUCGUAGAUCAGAAUGCUACGGUGAAUACGUUCCCGGGCCUUGUACACACCGCCCGUCACACCAUGGGAGUGGGUUGCAAAAGAAGUAGGUAGCUUAACCUUCGGGAGGGCGCUUACCACUUUGUGAUUCAUGACUGGGGUGAAGUCGUAACAAGGUAACCGUAGGGGAACCUGCGGCUGGAUCACCUCCUU
rnacentral:rRNA from 1 species